CUACGGGUCGCACCAGUGGGGAAUAUUGGACAAUGGGGGAAACCCUGAUCCAGCAAUGCCGCGUGUGUGAAGAAGGCCUGCGGGUCGUAAAGCACUUUCGGUUGGGAGGACUGCCUCUAGCACUAAUAUUGUUGGAAGUUGACGUUACCUUCAGAAGAAGCACCGGCUAACUCCGUGCCAGCAGCCGCGGUAAUACGGAGGGGGCAAGCGUUAAUCGGAAUUACUGGGCGUAAAGCGCGCGUAGGCGGCUAGAUCAGUCGGGUGUGAAAGCCCCGGGCUUAACCUGGGAACUGCAUCCGAUACUGUCUAGCUUGAGUACAGGAGAGGAGAGUGGAAUUCCACAUGUAACGGUGAAAUGCGUAGAUAUGUGGAGGAACACCAAUGGCGAAGGCAGCUCUCUGGCCUGAUACUGACGCUGAGGUGCGAAAGCGUGGGGAGCAAACAGGAUUAGAUACCCUCGUAGUC
rnacentral:rRNA from 1 species